GCUGGGUGUAAUGGCAUAUACCUGUAAUCCCAGCAGCUGAGGAGGCUGAGGCAGGAGGAUCACAAGUUCAAAGCAAGCCUCAACAUCUUAGUGAGGCCCUAAGCAACUCAGUGAGACCCUGACUCCA
rnacentral:sRNA from 1 species